UAAUACAUUCCAACGACGCUGCCACCGCCGUUGCCGCCACCGCAAUAACGUGUUUGCCAAUCGAUUUUGCGGUGACUAUACGUCGGACUUGUCCGACGUCUUCGAUUGCGCAGACUGACGGUGUGUACCUCGACAGAGAGUUUCAUAUUCUUUGGAUGUAAGCCAACGCGUGCAGUUAUCGAACUUGAUGACCGAUCGGCUGGUGCGAAAUCGUCAACGAACACGACUGAGCACUUACUACAACACAUGAUACUGUGUACAUAGAAACAACUUCGCCGGCCCGAAAAAUACCAACCGAGCGAAUUUCACGAUCAAAGAAAUAGUUUAAACGAAGUUCCGGCGGCGAACCGGGAGCUUGUAUAUUAUUAUUGUUAAUCCGAGUGAAAACUGUGCGGAGAGCAAAGGGAUCAAAGCAUAACUUCAGGAUAGUUAAGAACAACUCGCGUCAGAAGCCGCGCAUGUGAA